rnacentral:rRNA from 1 species
AUUCCGGAAGAAGACAACAGGGAUUACCUCAGUAACGGCGAGUGAAGCGGUAACAGCUCAAAUUUGAAAUCUGGCCUCACGGUCCGAGUUGUAAUUUGUAGAGGAUGCUUCGAGCAUGGUCUGGCCUAAGUUCCUUGGAACAGGACGUCAUAGAGGGUGAGAAUCCCGUAUGCGGCCAGGUGCCUACGCUCAUGUGAAGCUCCUUCGACGAGUCGAGUUGUUUGGGAAUGCAGCUCAAAAUGGGUGGUAAAUUUCAUCUAAAGCUAAAUAUUGGCCAGAGACCGAUAGCGCACAAGUAGAGUGAUCGAAAGAUGAAAAGCACUUUGGAAAGAGAGUUAAACAGUACGUGAAAUUGUUGAAAGGGAAGCGCUUGCAACCAGACUUGCGCGCGGCCGAUCAUCCGGUGUUCUCACCGGUGCACUCGGCCGUGCUCAGGCCAGCAUCGGUUUUGGCGGCUGGAUAAAGGCCCUAGGAAUGUGGCUCCUCUCGGGGAGUGUUAUAGCCUAGGGUGCAAUGCAGCCUGCUGGGACCGAGGACCGCGCUUCGGCUAGGAUGCUGGCGUAAUGGUUGUAAGCGGCCCGUCUUGAAACACGGACCAAGGAGUCUAACAUCUAUGCGAGUGUUUGGGUGUCAAACCCAUACGCGUAAUGAAAGUGAACGGAGGUGAGAACCCUUAAGGGUGCAUCAUCGACCGGUCCUGAAGUUUACGGAAGGAUCUGAGUAAGAGCAUAGCUGUUGGGACCCGAAAGAUGGUGAACUAUGCCUGAAUAGGGUGAAGCCAGAGGAAACUCUGGUGGAGGCUCGCAGCGGUUCUGACGUGCAAAUCGAUCGUCAAAUUUGGGUAUAGGGGCGAAAGACUAAUCGAACCAUCAGAGCGCUC